rnacentral:rRNA from 1 species
GCCUUACACAUGCAAGUCGAACGGCAGCGCGGGGGCAACCCUGGCGGCGAGUGGCGAACGGGUGAGUAAUGCAUCGGAACGUGCCCAACGGAUGGGGGAUAACUGCGCGAAAGCGUUGCUAAUACCGCAUACGACCUACGGGUGAAAGCAGGGGACCGCAAGGCCUUGCGUCGAUGGAGCGGCCGAUGUCGGAUUAGCUAGUUGGUGGGGUAAAGGCCUACCAAGGCGACGAUCCGUAGCUGGUCUGAGAGGACGACCCAGCCACACUGGGACUGAGACACGGCCCAGACUCCUACGGGAGGCAGCAGUGGGGAAUCUUGGACAAUGGGCGAAAGCCUGAUCCAGCAAUGCCGCGUGUGGGAAGAAGGCCUUCGGGUUGUAAACCACUUUUGGCGGGAAAGAAAUGGUCUGUGCUAAUACCACGGAUUGAUGACGGUACCCGCAGAAUAAGCUCCGGCUAACUUCGUG